GGAAAGAUACAUGAGAUGGAUCCCAUUCAGAUGUAUCCAAGUGACAUACAGCAAUUGAUUCCACUGUAUCACCAUUUGCUUCAUUCCUCAAUGAAACUUUGGACACCUUUCUUUCAUCGCUAAUCGUGUGAUGACAAUAGAAAACCGUGUAAUCACAAGACAGGAUAUGACACAUCACCAUCUUAGGAGCGGAAACUUCUUGUGGAACAUCCACAAUAGUAUAGUUCUGUGGGUGAGGAGUUGAGUCCUCGUUUGAGAAAUGAGUUGUUGUGGAUAGAGUUUUGACUUGGGUUUUCUCUCCCAUGAUCUCGUGAACAAAGUCGAGCAUUCCCUCCGCGGAUGUGGCACAGUACUGUGUCUCUCCCGUUAUAGGUGAUGAUAAUUCACAUAUUCUCAAUGCAUCUUCCAUGGAUUUAGCCUGUGGAGAGUUUUCAGACAACGAGAAACGUUGAAGAAGGUUUUGGAGUUCCUUGAAUGAAAAUGGAAUGGAAUCGGCUGCUUUUUUGGGAAAGAAAUUUUGCGGGGAAUUAGAAGGAGAAGAAAUUAGAUUUAUUCUUUUUUGAAAGGAGAGAG
rnacentral:lncRNA from 1 species